rnacentral:lncRNA from 1 species
GACAUGUUCUCUCCAAUUUUCUCCAAAACAAACCCUAAAUGAAUUUUGGCUAUAAAGUCAUAUUUAUAGCUUUAUUCAUUUGAGUGGCAAACUUGUAAAUAAGUCCAAGUUCACUACCCUUAACAAUAUGGUCGGCCUUAGGGUGUAUUUGGGUUGUUUGGGCCUUUGUGAAUAUUUAGUCAUUAAGUUGUCAUACAACUUAAGUCAAUGGGCUUGACGUUCGAAGCCCAUUGGGCCUUAAGGUCCAAAAACUAUCCCGAGGUCUUUAAUGAACUUAUUCGUUUGAUUAAUUAACAUAUUAAUUAAUCCUUGUCAUAAAUAAUUAAACCAUUUAAUUAUUCUUACUCAUCUCCAUUGUUUCUUCAAUCUUCACCUUACACGGUGUACGAUCCAUUAGGUUCCUUCUAGCGAGGCAGUGGGCGAUUAAAACCAUUUCACAUCGAUUGUGAAUUGAAACUUACUUUCAAUU